AAGUCGUAACAAGGUUUCCGUAGGUGAACCUGCGGAAGGAUCAUUAACACAAAACCUAGAAGAGACCAUAGAAAUAUGUGUCUCAUCUUACUAUCCAUAUGGUCUUGUUUCGUACCUCUGAAAGGAGGAUUAUCCACUUUGCAGCAAGGAUCCUGGACAUCCGGAUGUAAAUAUCUUGAGGCAUUGUGGCCCAUAUUUCGACUCUGAUUGUUAUACCAGCACUGAACCCAUAUGCACACGAAAGUGUGUGUAUGUUUAUUGACCUCGUGUCAAUAAAACCAAAUACAACUCGUAACAACGGAUCUCUCGGCUAAU
rnacentral:misc_RNA from 1 species